CCUACGGGAGGCAGCAGUGAGGAAUAUUGGUCAAUGGACGAGAGUCUGAACCAGCCAAGUAGCGUGAAGGAUGACUGCCCUAUGGGUUGUAAACUUCUUUUAUAUGGGAAUAAAAUGUUACACGUGUGGGAUUUUGUAUGUACCAUAUGAAUAAGGAUCGGCUAACUCCGUGCCAGCAGCCGCGGUAAUACGGAGGAUCCGAGCGUUAUCCGGAUUUAUUGGGUUUAAAGGGAGCGUAGGUGGAUUGUUAAGUCAGUUGUGAAAGUUUGCGGCUCAACCGUAAAAUUGCAUUUGAAACUGGCAGUCUUGAGUACAGUAGAGGUGGGCGGAAUUCGUGGUGUAGCGGUGAAAUGCUUAGAUAUCACGAAGAACUCCGAUUGCGAAGGCAGUUCACUGGACUGCAACUGACACUGAGGCUCGAAAGUGUGGGUAUCAAACAGGAUUAGAUACCCUUGUAGUC
rnacentral:rRNA from 1 species